rnacentral:rRNA from 1 species
UACGUAGGGUGCAAGCGUUGUCCGGAAUUAUUGGGCGUAAAGAGCUCGUAGGCGGUCUGUCGCGUCUGCUGUGAAAACUCAGGGCUUAACCCUGAGCUUGCAGUGGGUACGGGCAGACUAGAGUGCGGUAGGGGAGACUGGAAUUCCUGGUGUAGCGGUGAAAUGCGCAGAUAUCAGGAAGAACACCCGUGGCUAAGGCGGCUCUCUAGUACGGUACUGACGCUGAGACGCGAAAGCGUGGGGAGCGAACAGG